GAAGAACCAUCUACCUUCGAGGAAAAGAACAUGGUGAAUUAAUGUUGCAUGUUCGCUUGAACUACGUUAUGACUUGAUCCCUUUGAGGAGGGUACGUAGGCAGCUUAGACCCAUAUUCUAAGUUCAGUCAAAACAAAAAAAAAAUUGUUCUAAGUUGUUCGCUUGAACUACGUUAUGACUUGAUCCCUUUGAGGAGGGUACAUAGGCAGCUUAGACCCAUAUUCUAAGUUCAGUCAAACCAAAAAAAAAAAAAUUGUUCUAAGUUGUUCACUUGAACUACGUUAUGACUUGAUCCCUUUAAGGAGGGUACGUAGAUAGCUUAGACCCAUAUUCUAAGUUCAGUCAAAACAAAAAACAAAAAUUGUUCUAAGUUGUUCGCUUGAACUACGUUAUGACUUGAUCCCUUUGAGGAGGGUACAUAGGCAGCUUAGACCCAUAUUCUAAGUUCAGUCAAACCAAAAAAAAAAAAAAAA